rnacentral:rRNA from 1 species
AUUGAACGCUGGCGGCAUGCUUUACACAUGCAAGUCGAACGGCAGCGCGGGCUUCGGCCUGGCGGCGAGUGGCGAACGGGUGAGUAAUGCAUCGGAACGUGCCCAGUAGUGGGGGAUAGCCCGGCGAAAGCCGGAUUAAUACCGCAUACGACCUGAGGGUGAAAGCGGGGGACCGAAAGGCCUCGCGCGAUUGGCGCGGCCGAUGCCGGAUUAGCUAGUUGGUGGGGUAAAGGCUUACCAAGGCGACGAUCCGUAGCUGGUCUGAGAGGACGACCAGCCACACUGGGACUGAGACACGGCCCAGACUCCUACGGGAGGCAGCAGUGGGGAAUUUUGGACAAUGGGGGCAACCCUGAUCCAGCCAUGCCGCGUGCGGGAAGAAGGCCUUCGGGUUGUAAACCGCUUUUGUUCGGGAAGAAAUCCUCUGGGCUAAUACCCCGGGGGGAUGACGGUACCGGAAGAAUAAGCACCGGCUAACUACGUG